UACGUAGGGAGCAAGCGUUGUCCGGAAUCAUUGGGCGUAAAGAGCGUGUAGGCGGUCCGGUAAGUCGGCUGUGAAAGUCCAGGGCUCAACCCUGGGAUGCCGGUCGAUACUGCCGGACUAGAGUUCGGAAGAGGCGAGUGGAAUUCCCGGUGUAGCGGUGAAAUGCGCAGAUAUCGGGAGGAACACCUAUGGCGAAGGCAGCUCGCUGGGACGUUACUGACACUGAGGCGCGAAAGCGUGGGGAGCGAACAGG
rnacentral:rRNA from 1 species